ACACCUUCCACUAGAGCAGGGUGCUCCAAGGCCCUGUGUCCAACCUGGCCUUGAACACUGCCAGGGAUGGGGCAGCCACAGCUUCUCUGGGGAGCCUGUUUCCAUCCUCAGCACCCUCAGUCCCGCCUGGCCCCGCAGGCAGCCCUACCAGAGCAUGGAACUGGGAAUGCAUCAAUAAACCCCGUGUGAUGAACCACGGUCACAUUUCCCUGCUGCCCUUCCAGGGACACCCAGAAACCCAGCGGGGCUGUGAUAGCUCCUUGGCCCCCUCCAGCUCGCUGUGUGGGGACUGGGCUGCAGUAUCUACAGAGAACUUGUUGGAUGCUGGAAGGAGCUAAUUGAAAUGAGAGGGGAUAAAAACGGACUUUGGGUACGUUGCCAGCAUUCUCCUUGCCCAUUGUCCUCCCCCUUCGGUUUCUGCUUUCCACUGAGCAGUUUUGUUUCCAAGGAUCAUAAAUUCUCAUUUUUCCACUGGGCAGGAGGUGCACUCCCGGCCUCCACCGCUUCCUGCGUCGCUUUUGUGUCCGUGUUGCCCAGUUACUGCAGCACAGACCCAGACUAUGCCCGGCCACAUUCACCCCGGCCAUGUCCCCGGGAGCGUGCGCCCUGCCGGCGUGCACUGGGAGUUCAUAGGAUGCAGACGGGCACAUGCUUCCCAAGAGGAACAAAGGAAAGGCCAUAACCCAGCGGUCUCCAGCCGGAGGCCAUGAGGGAGCCGCUGGAAUGCCGCUGCCCACAAGGCUGUUGCGGGAAGCUCCAGGGCGGCUGUGUUUGGCCAAGCUGCACUUGCUGGGAGCAGAACGUGGGAGUUUUCUGUAGCAUCGGUUCCAAGCGGCAGCGUUCCAAGCAUCCGUAAUUCAAACAGCAGUCAAGAUAACACCGUGUCCUCAUGCCGUGCGGAUCAGUUCGGUUUGAAAUUAAUUACAUUCCUCAGCUUGAAA